CUGUCGGGGGCUUGCUCAUGUCCGGGGCAGCCUGAGACGGAGGCGGUGGGAAAGCCAGAGGUGCUGCCCCGGGAGUGGCUGGAGGAAGAGGAGGAGGGACCAGGAAGGCAAGGCACACAGCGAGAGGAGCGCAGGAUGGAGAAGACCUGAGGGGACUGAGAGGCGAACGAGGCAGCGGCUGGAGCGGGCGGGCCGAGGGUAGACGUGGGAGGGCCAAGCAGGGACCCGCACAGACACUGUGUGCCCGAGACACAGGCGGGGUCCCUGACAGGGACAUGGCCAUGACCUUCAGUCAGUGGAGAGGAAGAGGGAGGAGGUGGCGGGGAGGGGGACACAGACCCGUCUCAGAAGAUGCAGAAAGGCCAAGGGAAGGGGACACACUCUCUGGGAGGACCCGCUAAGCAGCGCCGCAGCGUCUCUCCGGCCCUCCACUCGCCUGACACCCAAGGGACACUUUCAAAGCCCAACAGCUAAGGACAUGUGGCCACGUGCUGGCCCCGAAGUGCUCUGUACACCAGUGUGGACUCAGCGACACUCGCCACGUCCCGUCCACACGGGACAGGACAGGACGCGAGGAGAAGGGGCGCCAGCUCUGGGCAGCCGGAGGGGGACCGGGAGGAUCUAGAAGCAACCCUCAGAUUCCCGCGCGCUCAAGUUUCCCAAGAUCAGAGGCAGUAUUGGAACACAGCAUCGGUGAUGAAACAACGUAUUUAGAAGUAGACAUUUUCGCAAACUGCAGGAGUGUCUGAAACCACAGGGCUCGCCUGGUCCGGGCACAGUGCAAGAGGCGCUGGGUCCUGGGGGAGGCGCCCUGAGCGCUGUCUAGGAAUGCGGCUGUCAAGAGGCGACAUCACCACUGAGGAAGCGGGACAGAAACACCUGAAACUUCGUUUACACCCCACUGGAGCAAAGCCGCUCCCUCCUCUGACUGCGGGACUGGCCUGUACCUGUGUGAUAUAAUUUAGCACCUGGAGAAGAGAAAUCUAAAGAGAUAUCGUUAAUCACACACAAUUCACAGAGAGAAAAGGAAAAACAGCUUACUUAACAUCACUGUACUUUACUAUGAAACACUUAAGUACGUCACUAAGCAUGUAUGUCUAAAUUAAGUUACGACUAAGACUUAACAGCGUAACCGACAUGGAGGAGGAGCACUCCUAACCGUGGGGAGGGAGGUUCAAAUGGCAAACUAUGCUCCAGCAUGGUGGGCAUGCUGCGGCGCCACCUGGCGCUCGGGGCUGCCCCGAC
rnacentral:lncRNA from 1 species